rnacentral:rRNA from 1 species
AUUGAACGCUGGCGGCAGGCCUAACACAUGCAAGUCGAGCGAGCGGCGGACGGGUGAGUAAUGUCUGGGUAACUGCCUGCUGGAGGGGGAUAACUACUGGAAACGGUAGCCAAUACCGCAUACCAUCAGAUGUGCCCAGAUGGGAUUAGCUAGUAGGUGGGGUAACGGCCCACCUAGGCGACGAGCCCUAGCUGGUCUGAGAGGAUGACCAGCCACACUGGAGCUGAGACACGGUCCAGACUCCUACGGGAGGCAGCAGUGGUGAACAUGUCGCAAUGGGCGCUAGCCUGAUGCAGCCAUGCCGCGUGUGUGAAGAAGGCCUUCGGGUUGUAAAGCACUUUCAGCGGGGAGGCGUUACCCGCAGAAGAAGCACCGGCUAACUCCGUGCCAGCAGCCGCGGUAAUAC